rnacentral:rRNA from 1 species
AUGCACGCUGGCGGCGUGCUUCACCCAUGCAAGUCGCACGAUGAAGCCCAGCUUGCUGGGUGGAUUAGUGGCGAACGGGUGAGUAACACGUGAGUAACCUGCCCUUGACUCAGGAUAAGCCCGGGAAACUGGGUCUAAUACUGGAUAGGAACGUCUACCGCAUGGUGGGUGUUGGAAAGAAUUUCGGUCAUGGAUGGACUCGCGGCCUAUCAGCUUGUUGGUGAGGUAAUGGCUCACCAAGGCGACGACGGGUAGCCGGCCUGAGAGGGUGACCGGCCACACUGGGACUGAGACACGGCCCAGACUCCUACGGGAGGCAGCAGUGGGGAAUAUUGCACAAUGGGCGAAAGCCUGAUGCAGCGACGCCGCGUGAGGGAUGACGGCCUUCGGGUUGUAAACCUCUUUCAGUAGGGAAGAAGCGAAAGUGACGGUACCUGCAGAAGAAGCACCGGCUAACUACGUG